AGUACUUCUUCCACCAGUGUUCUUGUCCUGGCAGUGAGCCAUAGCCAUACCCAACUCCCCAAGAGACCCUUCUGGACAAGCAGGUAGAUCUGGCCUUCUCUCCUGUGAAGUCACUGCUUUUAGCCCUGGGGCCUGGUCUGCAUGAGAUCUUGUGUGCCCUCUGAGAGUGCUGUUUGUUUCCUCCAGUCCUGUGGCGUUUCUGUGAUGACGCCCCACUGACCUUCAAAGCCAAACGCUCUGAGGGCUCCUCCUCUUGACGCCAGAUCCCCAGACUGCAAGCCAAAAUGCUGAGACACUGAGGUUCAUGGCAAAGAGAGGGCUUAUUCCCAAGGCAGCCAAGACAAGAUAUGAGAAGAAGGGCAAACAAAUCUCAAAUUCACCCUUGGGAUAGAGACGUUUGGAAUGAAGUGGACAGGUAGUUCAUUUACUCAGUGAGCUCCAGUCUCCUAUGUUGGAAUGCAAAUAACAACAAUGCCAUACUUCUCUCUGCUCUCUGGUUCCUCUUGCCGAUGACUGCUUUGCUUGGAUAAGAGCCUGGACAUGGAGGAUUUGAAGCAUGGAUCCAGCAUUCUGGAAAAAAAACUUACACAGAACUGUAACUCCAGAAUUUGGAAUCUGCUUUGUACUGAGAGUGCUUACAUAUUGGACGUAGAGGAAAGGAGCAGUUGUCAUGGUGGCUUAGGAGAUGAGUAUGGCUAUCAAACUGAAUGACAAAUUAGGGCAUUAGAAGGACAGGAGGAAAUUUCAGAGCCU